rnacentral:lncRNA from 1 species
GUUUGUAGAAGGCACUGAUGGAUGCUUCCCCCUGUGAAAGGAGGACCUCCCAUCAGUUCUGCUUUUUAAACAGUGACCUCAAGAGAAGCUCUGCAGGAUGA